UUUAUCUUUUAACAUAAUCCUAAAAUCAUCUGCAGCACUCUCAUUCUUCUCUUCUCCCAAAUUUGAACCCUAGCAGAGAGCAUACUACCCUAGCCAGUAGCCACCGACGGUCAAAAGCUCCUCAUUGACCAUGGCGGUUCACGGUAACGGCCAAUAGUCCCUCACUCAUGGCGGCAACCAACAACCCCAAGCCUUUUCCCCACACCACCAUCUUCGAUUUUUGCCCGGCUAUCACCGUUCGUUACUUCCAUCAUCAGACGUCUUCUCCGCCAUCGUUAGUGAUCUUUUCUACCAUCCUCAGUCCUUUUCUCCAUGGUUUGCAGGAAAGAAGCUCUCUCUUCCUGACUCCGCCGCUGCCAGCGGCAUCGCGGCAGCGCUCAUUGUCACUCCGACGAACCCCGCAACAGCUCUUAGGCUCUACACCACUGUUUCCCACCGACUCCUCCGCAAUGUCGUUAUUGCCGCCAACAUUGCUUUCGGACCCACAGUUCAAGAACCUUCUCUCAUCAUGGUCCCACACGACCAUUAAUUGAAGCUCAAACACAACUGAAGCACAAGAAGGAAUCUGUGAAGACAAAACAUCCACAGCUUCAUUAUGAAUCAAAUAUAUAUGCUUCUUCAAGAAGGGAGUAAGUAUAUAUACGUCUAUUUCUUUUCAGCAUUGUCUGUGCUAAAAGUCUUAGGUACUACCUAAUAGAAAAUUUUCACUUGAAAAAUGGUUUCUGCUUUCUCAAGUUUGAAAAUUUUAAAUGAUUGUUGUCCAGAAUCUUCUAGUCUUAAUGCAAUCAAAACUAUGAAUUUUGAAAUCAUGCAUUUAUAGUAAAAUCAAAUAAUUAAGACUCCAAGUUUCUCAUAAAAUAAUCAUGAUGUUUUCUUUUGAGUAAUCCAAUUUGGUUCCUUAUUAAAAUUGGGAUUCUCCACCUAAAGUGGUUUGGAGUUGAAGGAGACUACAACAUUAUGGCUAUUGACCUUCUUGGACCAAGCUUGGAAGAUUUAUUCAAUUAUUGCAACAGGAAGUUUACACUGAAGACAUUGUUAAUGCUUGCUGAUCAAUUAGUAAGUCUACAUGUCAACUAUUAUAAUCAAACAAGAAUCACAUGAUGUUGUGUAGUGUAGUGCAGUGCCUUUGAUUUUGACUGUUGGAUUCCUUAUGAUUAUGAAUUUCUUUCCUUUUCUUUUUUGAAUUUCUUGCUACUUCUUUGGUGAUCAUCUUCUAUGAAUUCAUUUGUAGAGUUCUGCAUCAUGGGUUUGUUUGCCUUAUAAUUCUAUGACCUCAUGUAUAGACAAAAGAUUUCCCAUUCUUUUAUUGAUCUGUGUUGCUUUUUUGUAAUUUGCAGAACUGAUGAGGUAAUCAACACUCAAUUGAUGAUUUCUCGGUAAAUUUGCCAAAAAUGGGUCAAGCAUUUUUCUCCAUAUUUUAGCUUGAAACAGAGGUUGUUAUUGGCUUAUUU